GAACUGAAGAGUUUGAUCAUGGCUCAGAUUGAACGCUGGCGGCAGGCCUAACACAUGCAAGUCGAGCGGAUGAAGGGAGCUUGCUCCUGGAUUCAGCGGCGGACGGGUGAGUAAUGCCUAGGAAUCUGCCUGGUAGUGGGGGAUAACGUCCGGAAACGGGCGCUAAUACCGCAU
rnacentral:rRNA from 1 species